rnacentral:rRNA from 1 species
ACAACACCGCUUCCCGUACGAUCACCGAAGUUAAGCAACGUCGAGCCUGGUCACUACCUAGAUGGAUAUCCGCUUGGGAAUAUCAGGUACUGUAA